AUUGUUCUUGUGCCUGUUAGGUGCUCAUGUGCAUGGCUGUUGUUGUUUUUUUUUUUUUUAUGUACUGCUUGUGUGUGACUUGGGUUUUCUCCUCUCUUCAGGUGUUCUUACUGGGACUGUUACUUGCACCCAUGGGUGUCCUAGGAACCUUGUGCUAUAAAUCUGCAUCAGCGAAAAAAGGAACACCCUGUAGGCUCCACUACUACUUCCUGUAACCUCUCCCUUACAAUGGAACGUUCUUGUGCUAACUUUUGGCGUGUUUGAGGAAACUUUCGGUUCUGGCAACUAUUAGGACAGCCUUUUCGGGUCUGGGUUAUGCGGCUGUUCUUCCCACGGAUGUUUUGCUGCUCAGGAGAGGCCAGUCUGGGAAGCAACGUUACUAAACAAGGCCAGUCUUGCUGCAGGCUUCUCUACUACUACUGCUGCUGGAGGGCCUUGCAUCCUGCUCCUAGGACUUUUAACCCAAAACCAUCUGCCGACUGUAUAUUCUUUAUCCGGCCAUGAGUUGUCCUUCAAACGCAGCAAAACGAUUUCUGCGGGAUUUGUCCCUGAAUGAGGUGCUGCUAGAGAUUCGUAUUGUGUUCAAGACCAAACUUCUCUGCAAUCCAAGGCUCCUGUUCUUGAAGAAGUGGAGACCUAAUUGUCGGAUGCUUAUGCCUGAUUACUUCUAACUACAGACCUUGUUACGUGAUGCAGGCACUUCAAGGUGGCUCCAUUAAUGCGACCCAGAAUUUCUGCAGAGGCUGAUUGUAUUUGCCCCCCUGAAUAUGGAUAUUUUGGGAGCUCAUCUAAAUGACAAGAAGCCUCAGGAGAGAAAUCUGUUCUCUCAAUGGAUUCUUCAGGAAAAAGUGGCCCUAAAACAUGAGGCACUUCUGUUUCCAGACUUGACUGAGCUGAUCAGAAGCAUGUACACUGAGCCAGGAUCAUGGAUCGGCCUUCACCAAUCACUCCAAGCCAGGAAUGGAAGUAAUACUGCCAAACAUGGUGCCUUCCAACACCCUGGUGCACAAUUAAGUGAAACCUGCAAAAUGAUUAGGAUGUGGGGCGUUUCCAAGUUCCAAUGCCUGUGCACUCCCUGGCUCCGUGUUUUGCAUCAUUUCCUAAAAUAAGAUGAUAAAACAACCAUUAUAAUUUGUUGAAGGGGAAAUACAUCUCAGAACAUUUCUGCUCUUAACAAAAGAGUCAAUAUUGGAGUUACAACCUUCCCAGAGAGAUACUGCAGCAGGAGAUCAAACAGAAAGUUGGGACAUUUCAGUAACAAUCCAGGACUGCGGAUUGAGCUGUCCGUCAGGACUGUCCUAUGAAAAACGUGACAGUUGGGAGGUUUGAUUCAGGGUCCGGGCCUUGACUGCAUCUACUGCAGGGCAAUGCGUCUCCAUAGUAACAGCUUGACUGAGUUGAGCGAGCAACAUAUCCAGAUACCAUCUAGCGGGGAUGAUAUGUAUUGCAACUCCUCUGAUAGAGUGCUGCUUAUUAAUUCACUGUCUCCUAGCAACCACUUUCGUGCAUCCUCAUCCCCGGGUGCCAUGUCCCGGCACAAAACUGUCAGCCCUAAGCUGCCUCCCCACAUGCUCUGAACUCUAUUGCCAUGGGAGCAGGUGGUGGCUGAUCAGUCAGUGGGUAUUUAUAGUGCAGAAAAAAAACCAUGAACCAUAUGUGUCAGAUUCACUCAUUUAGAAUUUUCUUGAUAUGUGCUGUUGGGGGUUGAUUAUUUGGAGCCCUGAGCCACCCUUAGCCUCCUUUCUUUGUUGCCCCCUCAUCUGCGCUCUCUCCAGCUUAUUAAUAUCCUUCUUUAGGGGUGCUUCGCCUUUAAGUUAACUUUUAGUAUUUUACAGAAUUGUUGGUUCUAAGCAACUUUUCAAUUGGCCUUCCUUUUUUCUUUUUUUACAAUGUAUUUUUUCUAAUUAUUUGCCUUCUGAUUCU